AGAAUCAUUCACAAUGGGGGAAACCCUGAUGGUGCAACGCCGCGUGGAGGAUGAAGGCCCUUGGGUCGUAAACUCCUGUCAUAUGAGAGUAAGGCAUGAUAGUUAAUAGCAUUCAUGUUUGAUAGUAUCAUCAGAGGAAGGGACGGCUAACUUCUUGCCAGCAGCCGCGGUAAUACGAAGGUCCCGAGCGUCGCUCUGACUCACUGGGCGUAAAGGGAGCGUAGGCUGCGCGGUAAGUCAGAUGUGAAAUCCCGGGGCUCAACCCUGGAACUGCAUCCGAUACUGCCGCGCUAGAGUAAUGGAGGGGUAACUGGAAUUCUCGGUGUAGCAGUGAAAUGCGUAGAUAUCGAGAGGAAGACCAACGGCGAAGGCAGGUUACUGGACAUUUACUGACGCUGAGGCUCGAAGGCCAGGGUAGCGAAA
rnacentral:rRNA from 1 species